rnacentral:rRNA from 1 species
UACGUAGGGUGCGAGCGUUAAUCGGAAUUACUGGGCGUAAAGCGUGCGCAGGCGGUUCGUUGUGUCUGAUGUGAAAGCCCCGGGCUCAACCUGGGAAUGGCAUUGGAAACUGGCGAGCUAGAGUGUGGCAGAGGGGGGUGGAAUUCCGCGUGUAGCAGUGAAAUGCGUAGAGAUGCGGAGGAACACCGAUGGCGAAGGUAGCCCCCUGGGCUAGCACUGACGCUCAGGCACGAAAGCGUGGGGAGCAAACAGG